UGAGUAUUACUUCAGGUACUGGUAUUCUGUUUCCUAUAACCAGUAUCUAUGUAAUAUUUAAA
rnacentral:pre_miRNA from 1 species